rnacentral:rRNA from 1 species
GACAGAGGGUGCAAACGUUGUUCGGAAUUACUGGGCGUAAAGCGCGUGUAGGCGGCUAAGUAAGUCGGGCGUGAAAUCCCACGGCUCAAUCGUGGAAGUGCACUCGAAACUGCAUAGCUAGAGUCCUGGAGAGGAAGGUGGAAUGCUUGGUGUAGAGGUGAAAUUCGUAGAUAUCAAGCGGAACACCGGUGGCGAAGGCGGCCUUCUGGACAGUGACUGACGCUGAGACGCGAAAGCGUGGGGAGCAAACAGG